CACUUUCUCCGGAAGCUUGCCUGCCUUCCUGGAACAAACUGCCUUGUGGACUCUCUCUUCCUCUGCAGUGUGUUCUUCCCCAGAGGCACGUUGGUCUGUCAUAUGAAUAUGCCUUCAGAAAGUGCCUAGACGUUCCUGAAUUUGCGGGUGACAAAUUUCCUGGACAUGCAAAAAUUCUGGCUGCUUAAAGCAUUCUUGGCAUACACUGCCGGAGAACAGCAUCAUCACCCUGCCAGCAGUUAGAAUUGAGGCACUCGAGAUAUACAAGAAUUUCUGAGUAGCUGCCGGUCUGUGAAUACAGCUUUGAGUUCAAUUGCCACAUCGGCGGGAGGGUCUUCAGAGUCACCA